UAGGACUUAUUCAAUUAAAAGAAUAAAUUGACCCUUUGAUACAAACUUAAAGUCAGAGAGCGUAAAACUUUAUCUAAAAAAUAAAAAUAUAUAAUGCAGUAUCCAAACAUUUGAAUAAGUGUCGCCAUCAAGCUAACAAAACUUGACGCUUAUGAUAACCAAGACAACGUCCUGUUAUGCAUCUUACUGAAGACCAGGAUGACACUACUUGAUACUUUCUUCAUCGAAGUAUUGUUUUAAGUUUUACGUCGUCAGCUUGACUUUCCCUAAGAUGUAUUCCAGAGAAACCUUUUUCUUAUUGACCUUUUUGAUUUUAUUGUAUGCAAAUUCACCUGGUCAUUCGCAGCUGAUUGGAAAAGAAAAGGAUAAUGUUUUCCUUGAGCAAGCUGUGUUGGAGCGAUUGCGGUCUGCAGUAAUGGGUAUGUCGAAGGAUCUAGAAAUAAGAGUAGGACGUCUGGAAGAGGAAAACGAACGGAUUUCAUCGGAAUUAAACUUAGUGAAGGCUUUGUCAGAAAACUAGGAGGAAAUCAAACAUUCUACCGACGACAAGAAUUGACUUUAAAGAUGAGGAGCGCCUAGAUACUUCAUUCACCCACGUCAAACUGGACACGCAAACUUAUUCGGAUGGCGAACUUUCCGAAUUUCUGAGUUUCUUGGUAAAUCCGUUGAUGAUGUAUCGAUAAAGACUGCAAUACUGAUUAUCAUAACGGUUUAAUUGCUUUAUAUUAGAAACUAUUAAAAAUGAUAUUUAAAACGCUCAAUUAUUUUG